CCCGCACAACCCCUCGUGCCCUCCUCUCCCUCUCUCUCUCUCUCAGGAACCCUAGCACUCCACUCCUCCCUUGCCGCCGCCACCUCCGGCGCUCGGUCCUGGCGACCUCAGGCGGGAAUCGAAGACCGCUGUCCGGCGAGAUCCGGCCCGCGCGGCGAGAUCCAUCUCUCUCUCACACAUGAGAAGGAAAAUCCCCCGCCCCAUUCUCACGACUCAUCUGCCCCUCCCUCGAUCCCCUUCCUUCCUGAGGACGCACGCGCCGCCCCCUCCCCGAUCCACAUCUCCCCUCGCCCUCCCACAUCGUGCCGCCAUCCACCUCGUCGCCUCCCAGAUGUAUAUUUUUAUCUGGACGGGAUUUCCUCCUCCUCCUCCCCU
rnacentral:rRNA from 1 species